UGUGUGCACACCUAAUAGCUCUGACAGAUCUGGGGCACGCAAGUGAGACCAGACAGGCUGGUUAGAAACCAGCCAGGUGGCAUCUCUAAAUGAUUGUGGCUGAUUUUGUUCACUGAUUCUCCUCUGUACACAACUGUGGAACAAAAUACUUGCAAACUGGAGACAGGACCAAGGGCUGGAAAGAGCUGUAACGAGAAAUAAAAGCAUUUGGAGGAAAACUCCUGAGGAAUAAA